GAUCACCACCUGCUCGAAGAAAGCGCGAUCGCUCGUCUUCAACGUACAUUGCAGAACUUCCCACAAUCCUGCUUUGCACACCCAUGUUUCGAAGCAAUCUAGCUGUCUAUCAUGACAACAUAGAAUAAACAAGGAAUAAGAUGUGGAUUGAUGACAAUAAGAUCGAAUGUAGCUCCCCCUUGGAUGAGCUCAAUAGCAGCACUACCACUCUCUACAUCCUCAGUCUCCACUCCAUAAGCUGAUAGGAAACUCUUCUCAAGCAUUCUGCAGAAUGAUUCACUGUCCACAACAAGAGCAGUGAGUCUGUUCCUCCAUGUCAUAAAGGUGUUGGUUUCGGGGUUGAAUUCUCCCCCCGGUGGAUUCCUACGCUGAGGUAGCUUCUCGCCCCCAUUUGCACGUAUUUGUCUUGGUAACGAGUAUGUUGGUGCCAUUCUUCUUCAGUCAAACCUGAACAAAACACAAAAGAACAGUUUUAUAUAGAGACUACAAGGCUAACAUUUUCUAUAUCCUACCAUUUCCGGUGGGCACAGUUGGCGGAAAGUGACAAAAGAAAAGGAGAGCAAUACCGGGAUUUGCUGGGAAGUUUUGCUUAAAUAGAUUCGAAAUCCAGAAACCAGAUUUAAUACAGUGAAUGAAAAACACGUGUGUUCGUUCGCUCACGUUCCUGGCGUGCUUCUUUAGUUUUGAGUAACACCACUUGUCACCUGGGAAACCAUGAAAGAAAAACAAUGCCAUAACUGAACUCAAAUACAGCUACUAAAUUUAUUUCAUAAGUUUCAGUUAUGUGUUUUGAAUUAUUGUUUUACCAUAUUUGUUGAAUAUUAUACUUUUAAACGAAUCAGUGGUCUUCACCAUUCCAUAUAGAUUCCAUAGAACUAUUUCUUAUAGUAAAGCUUACAAUUUAUUGACUAUCAUUUAUAUUAGAUAAUCUGUUCAUUUUUCCUAUUCUAAAAUCAAUUUUUUUUUCUUUCCAUUCAGAUAAAUAUCAGUUUUUGAUUUUGAAAGGAAUUCUGUCUGAGAUAUUAUUGGAGCAAGAUUUAGAUCUUUUACUCAUUUUCCUUUUCUUUGUUUCUCAAUUCAAUUGUAAUAUGAGUUGAAUCUAUUUCAGAUGAAAUUUUUGAAUCUAUACACAAAAAUAGCUCAUGUACAAUAACAUCUAGGAUUGAAGGGCUUGAAGAUUGUGGUUGAUGAAGUCCUUAGCCAGUACGAUCUACUUGUUACAAUAUUCAUUCUGAUCAGAGAUAUUCAAUCCUUGAUGCAAUGUAGCAGAGUAUGUAAGUUUUGGUACUCCAUUAUCAAUUCUUAUUCAACCUACUUUCGAAACAAAAAGCUACUCCAUUAUUAAUCCCACAACACCACUCUUUACUUUUAUAGUUAGAAGAAGCUAUUUCUAUUUUGAAAGAAGAAAGCCAUUUUAUGAAUAUUUUUCUAGUGAAUUAUGAUUUCUCCAUUAUUGUGGAUCGUUGAUAUGGGAAUGAUUCGAGAUGCUGGAUUAAUAAUCGAUCAUGAUCAGAUCAAGAAGAUCAGUGAUGUGAUGUGCAUUCGAAAAUGGCAGCUGCUCGGUUCUCGAUGAAGGAGCCCGGUUUGGUUUGUUACUCAGAACAGCCUAUGCAUAUAGUAAAACUAUAUAACAUGAUCAUAUCAGUAACUUUCUCAGACACAAAACACAAUUCCUUUCAGUGUAGGCUGAUACAUUUGAUGUGAAUAUGUAACUCUUAUCUGAAUCAAAAGAGACUUUUGAUUUUAUUGAAACUAAUCACUCUCUUGUAAUUGUAUUGUAUUGUACAUUGAGAAACAAAGAGAAACAAAAAUUCCUUAUAUCACAUGAGUAAAAGAUCCAAAUCAUGGUC